AGAACGACUGUGAUGAGGAAUAGUAGGUCCGGUAAUCUUCAAGAGAGCCUGCGGUUGGUGAGAGCCGGCAGAUGAACAGACUGAACUCGCCUCGGAGUAUGCUUUUGGUGAAAAUAGUAGCCGGAAGCCGUGUUUUCGCGUUAAGAAAUCUAAGCUGAGUGCUGUGUCACUAAUGUGGGUGGUACCGCGGGAGUUGAAAUCCUCUCGUCCCUUUC
rnacentral:ncRNA from 1 species